rnacentral:rRNA from 1 species
UACGUAGGGUGCGAGCGUUGUCCGGAAUUAUUGGGCGUAAAGAGCUCGUAGGCGGCCUGUCGCGUCGGUUGUGAAAGCCCGGGGCUUAACCCCGGGUCUGCAGCCGAUACGGGCAGGCUAGAGUUCGGUAGGGGAGACUGGAAUUCCUGGUGUAGCGGUGAAAUGCGCAGAUAUCAGGAGGAACACCGAUGGCGAAGGCAGGUCUCUGGGCCGAUACUGACGCUGAGGAGCGAAAGCGUGGGGAGCGAACAGG